GUAUGUUGUCAGUUAAAUGUGAGUGAUUUAAUUUCAAAAUUUGUUAGCGCCAAACUACGAAAAAUAAAAUUUCAAUAAAUAUAUUAUGUUAGAUAUGUGUACUUUUUUUGACAAAUACUUCUUAUUCUUGAAAAGGAAGGAGAGUUAUGUUUGUAUUUGCAGGCGGGUGGCGAAGACCCUAGGGCCAGCCCUGAACGUCUAUACUAACAAAUUAUCUAAAAAUAAAGUUAUUGAGAUUACUAAUGAUCAUAAGGAAAUUGGAUAGUUUAGAUAAAAAUUAUGUUUCGAUUAGAUAAGUAAAGUUAUAUAACCGAUUUCCUACUAACAUCCAAACAGUUUGCAAAUAUCCAAGAAAACAAAUAUUUUAUUGAAAGAAUGUUUUAGAUCUUAAUCGAAGGUCAACAUCAGUUCACCAAGAAGAAUUCUAAAAUUAGAAAAAUCGUUCGUUGUUGUUUCUAAAAGUCAGUUUAGAGCACUAGGUGGUACAAGAAAAUAUGAAAUAGCAAACAGAAAGAUCAGACAGUGAUAGGACAUCGAAGAAAUCAUUCUUUCGCUUUCGGUUAUGUUGGAAACUAGAGCUAAAUCUACUAAUCAUCACAGGAAAUUUUUGUUCAAGUUUAAGCAAUCGUUUGAAAAUUUGGGUUGCAAUAACAACAAACGGAGGUACAUUUAUUUGCCAUUCUUUUAACGAGUGCAAAAAUAAAGCAGGUAAAUUUUUAUUAUUAUUGUACUAUUGUUAAUUUAUUAGUCAUCCAGUCAGUAAAUGACCGGUAAUCACGCUCAGUUAUAGCAUUUUUACUUGGUCAGAGCAGCAUAUUGUUCAAAAGACAUCGUCUGGAAGAGCUACAGGUGCUGGUUCAACAAAAUAUAUUACAGUGAUUUUCAGAGCCCGUUAUAGAUUUAUUCAAUGUUCCUUUGGAUCUUGACAUGCCCGCCAUCUCUAGGUCCACAUAAUAGAGAGUCUAAACUAGUCUAGUAUAAUUAGCUAGAUUAACGCUCCUUCAUUCUUGGUCCAUUGUGCACAUUGUCAAGAAACAAGAAUAGCCGAAAGACAACGUUAAAUAUAUCAACCAACUGGUUCGGAAGAUUCGAAAAGAAAAACGACUGGAAAUCUAUAUUCAAAUAUCGUUCGGUUAAGUUAGAUUAAUUUUGUUUAGAGGCCAUAUCUCACAACAUUUUAUAUCUGGCGGUGAUCACUGUAAAGCCCAUCACAGGCUACCAAUGAUGGUGUUAACCAGAAGUUUGAAGAGUGAGUUUCAAUUACGAUCUCACCUGAGCCUGUCCUGGGCCAUAGGUUUGGAUGCCUUUGGGCGGGUUGUCAGGGACUGGCUGGCAGCCCAGCAUCUCACCUUUUGGAAGUCUAGUUCUGGACUUAGGCAGGCAAAGGCUCUCAUCUUGGGAUGCUCAGUUCAACGAACUAAG
rnacentral:lncRNA from 1 species